rnacentral:misc_RNA from 1 species
AAGUCGUAACAAGGUUUCCGUAGGUAGCAAGUUUUGCCUAUUACAGCAGCUUCUGCUAGUCUCCAUGCGAGGCGACACGCUCAAUAUGCGGAAAAGUCCUUUUUUACAGAAGGGAAAUCCGCAGCCACUCCCCCUACCCGGAGGUCGGUUCAGAGACUCAAUGAGUGUGGGUUUGGUGUUUAUAGCCAAGCUUAAGAUAGAGCCCGUCCCUGUUGGCAACUACAGGGAAUCAACGGAACCUGCGGAAGGAUCAUUAAAGAAUAUCGGGCCCUCACCGGCCCUAUUCUCACCCUUUGUUUACCCCAACUUUGUUGCUUUGGCGGAAACGCCAAAGGACCGAAACCCUUGAAUCUCUGCUGUCUGAGUUACUAUAUAAUAGUUAAAA